rnacentral:rRNA from 1 species
AGUGAACGCUGGCGGUAGGCCUAACACAUGCAAGUCGAACGGCAGCACAGUAAGAGCUUGCUCUUACGGGUGGCGAGUGGCGGACGGGUGAGGAAUACAUCGGAAUCUACUUUUUCGUGGGGGAUAACGUAGGGAAACUUACGCUAAUACCGCAUACGACCUACGGGUGAAAGCAGGGGAUCUUCGGACCUUGCGCGAUUGAAUGAGCCGAUGUCGGAUUAGCUAGUUGGCGGGGUAAAGGCCCACCAAGGCGACGAUCCGUAGCUGGUCUGAGAGGAUGAUCAGCCACACUGGAACUGAGACACGGUCCAGACUCCUACGGGAGGCAGCAGUGGGGAAUAUUGGACAAUGGGCGCAAGCCUGAUCCAGCCAUACCGCGUGUGUGAAGAAGGCCUUCGGGUUGUAAAGCCCUUUUGUGGGGAAAGAAAAGCAGCAGGUUAAUACCCCGCUGUUCUGACGGUACCCAAAGAAUAAGCACCGGCUAACUUCGUG